rnacentral:rRNA from 1 species
UGGGGAAUUUUGGACAAUGGGCGCAAGCCUGAUCCAGCAAUGCCGCGUGCAGGAUGAAGGUCUUCGGGUUGUAAACUGCUUUUGUACGGAGCGAAAAGGUCUGCCCUAAUACGGUGGGCUCAUGACGGUACCGUAAGAAUAAGCACCGGCUAACUACGUGCCAGCAGCCGCGGUAAUACGUAGGGUGUGAGCGUUAAUCGGAAUUACUGGGCGUAAAGCGUGCGCAGGCGGUUAUGCAAGACAGAGGUGAAAUCCCCGGGCUCAACCUGGGACCUGCAUUUGUGACUGUAUAGCUAGAGUACGGUAGAGGGGGAUGGAAUUCCGCGUGUAGCAGUGAAAUGCGUAGAUAUGCGGAGGAACACCGAUGGCGAAGGCAAUCCCCUGGACCUGUACUGACGCUCAUGCACGAAAGCGUGGGGAGCAAACA